AUUGAACGCUAGCGGGAUGCUUUACACAUGCAAGUCGAACGAGUGGCGGACGGGUGAGUAAUAUAUCGGACCGUGCCCAGUGGCGGGGGAUAACUACUCGAAAGAGUGGCUAAUACCGCAUACUUUCGGAGCGGCCGAUAUGGGAUUAGCUAGUUGGUGGGGUAAAGGCACACCAAGGCAACGAUCCGUAGCUGGUUUGAGAGGAAGACCAGCCACACUGGGACUGAGAAGCGGCCCAGACUCCUACGGGAGGCAGCAGUGGGGAAUUUUGGACAAUGGGCGAAACCCUGAUCCAGCCAUCCCGCGUGUAUGAGAAGGCCUUCGGGUUGUAAAGUACUUUUGGCGGGGAGGCGGUAUCUGCAGAAUAAGCACCGGCUAACUACGUGCCAGCAGCCGCGGUAAUAG
rnacentral:rRNA from 1 species